UACGUAGGGUGCAAGCGUUGUUCGGAAUUACUGGGCGUAAAGGGCGCGUAGGCGGCCUUCUAAGUCGAACGUGAAAUCCCCGGGCUCAACCCGGGAACUGCGUCCGAUACUGGAAGGCUUGAAUCCGGGAGAGGGAUGCGGAAUUCCAGGUGUAGCGGUGAAAUGCGUAGAUAUCUGGAGGAACACCGGUGGCGAAGGCGGCAUCCUGGACCGGCAUUGACGCUGAGGCGCGAAAGCUAGGGGAGCAAACGGG
rnacentral:rRNA from 1 species